rnacentral:rRNA from 1 species
GAUGAACGCUGGCGGCGUGCCUAAUACAUGCAAGUCGAGCGGUAACAUGGACUUCGGUCUGAUGACGAGCGGCGGACGGCUGAGUAACGCGUAGGAACGUACCCCAAACUGAGGGAUAACUGCUCGAAAGAGUAGCUAAUACCGCAUGUGCUCUAAGGAGUAAAGCUUCGGCGGUUUGGGAACGGCCUGCGUACGAUUAGAUUGUUGGUGAGGUAAUGGCCCACCAAGUCGAUGAUCGUUAGCUGGUCUGAGAGGAUGAUCAGCCAGACUGGGACUGAGAACGGCCCAGACUCCUACGGGAGGCAGCAGUGGGGGAAUAUUGGACAAUGGGCGCAAGCCUGAUCCAGCAAUUCCGCGUGGGUGAAGAAGGUCUUCGGAUUGUAAAGCCUUCGUUGGGACGAUGAUGACGGUACCCAAAGAAGAAGCCCCGGCUAACUUCGUG